rnacentral:rRNA from 1 species
UACAGAGGUCUCGAGCGUUAGGCGGAAUCACUGGGCUUAAAGCGUGUGUAGGCGGAUCGUUAAGUACCUUGUGAAAUCCCACGGCUUAACCGUGGAACUGCUUGGUAUACUGGCGGUCUUGAGCCAGCUAGGGGCUACCGGAACAAAUGGUGGAGCGGUGAAAUGCGUAGAUAUCAUUUGGAACGCCAAUGGUGAAAACAGGUAGCUGGGGCUGUGCUGACGGCUGAGACACGGAAAGCCCAGGGGAGCAAACGGG